rnacentral:lncRNA from 1 species
UCUGAUCGUGAGUCGUCAAGGGGAGCUAACCUGCGGAAAAUCAACAAUCUGGUGCCAUGCCUCGGUCCAAGCUUCUCCCAUAAUGUACGUAAAGGACUUGGAGAAUACAGUUGCAUCAAAUGUUUACAUCAUGGUUCCAAGGUUUGAAUGGCCAAAACUGAAGAUACAACCAUAAGUGAUAAGUCUUUUGUGGCCGCUCACUGUGCUCUUUCCACAUCAUGCAGUCCAUCUUCAAGAUGCAACAUGCCAGCAUUCUUCCACGGGACUAUUCCCGUAAGCGAUGCUGCUUGUUUCAUGGCUUCUC